GGAGAAGUGCGAGAGUGGUUGAAUCGACCUGACUCGAAAUCAGGCAUGCCGGAGACGGCAUCGAGGGUUCGAAUCCCUCCUUCUCCGCCA
rnacentral:tRNA from 1 species